UUAAGAAGCGACAUUCAUAAAACUAUGCAGAGAGCUUACGAGACAAAUGCGAGACAGUAUAACCUACGAGCCAAACCCGUUUCUUUUCAAAUAGGUCAAGAAGUUUUCCGGCGAAACUUCGCGCAAAGCGACUUUUCUAAAAAUUUCAAUGCGAAACUUAGCCCCAAAUUCCUCAAGGCAAGAGUGAAAGAAAAAAUUGGAAACCAUUAUUAUCUCUUAGAAGAUUUACAAGGUCGACCCGUCGGCACAUUCCACGCAAAGGAUAUCCGCCAAUAAACUAACGGAUUCUGGCUAACCUUCUUAUCCAAGGAUUUCAGGUUAUCCAGUUUGUAAUGUCCCCCACUACAACUAGCUUCGAAUUAAGAAAUCCAAAGUUUUAUUCUUUACAUUUUCCAAACAAAUGUCUGUCAAAAUAUACUAUCAUUAUUUCAUUCGAACAAAUCAAAUACAAUUUCCUGUUCUCGAAGCAACCCUACAUGUAAAAAUUUCUCGCAUGCGAUAUUUGUAUAUAUCCAUACUACAAUGGGUAGAAAAAGUACUUUUUCGGUCAAAACAGUAGUACCAACCAUGACAUUUUUACUGUAUAUUUGCCGAAGCCGAGAGUUCAAGACUGCUUUACGGAAAGUAGUUACUUCCUUUCCAUUUCAACUGCAGACCAAGUAGGAUCACUUCGAGGGUGUCUAAAAUCCACCAUUAAAAUCUUGCAACAUAACUCGCUCAUUUAUUAAAAGCGUGAGAUUUUUUGAGACACUCAAAGUUUCCAACUGAGUCUGCCAUCACAGGAGAUUGGAAAUCAUUCAUUGCUUUAGCAAACAAAAACCAAAAGAAGAUUCACGAUAGCAACAAGAGGAAA